GUUUAACGAGACCAUUAUAUUUUUUCUUAUAUUCUAUUGUAAUUUGCAUACGUACUUCUCCAUUUCAAGAAAGGAACCCUAAAAAAGUAAAAUCUCACUCUUCCUGAAACUUCCCCAAUCAUCACGCCACAACCAAAACCAAUGAAAACCCCUUAAUCUGAUUGAUUUCUCAUUCGAUAUCUCUAACUCUCUCGAGUUGCUGUUUAAUCGAGUGUUUCUUGAUUCUUGAAACUCAAAUAUUUCAGCCUGCAAUUUUUUAAAGAUCAAUUUUUUCUUCACAGAUACUUGAAUACAUACAGAUUGAGCAGAAAGGAAAUAUGGGUGUUGGUUUAUCCGUGCUUAAUAAAGUCAGGGGCGGAUCUCUAUAUGUUAUUAAAGAGAGGCAAUUGCCCCACCUCAUGUUUUUCAUCCCAUCCCAGAGCUAGAGGCCGCCUCUGCUUAAAGUGUGCAACUUUAUUCAUCUUCUUCCUCUCCCUCCGAAUGUUCGAGUUCACUCUGCUAUCAAUCCCCUUCUUGUAUGCAUCUCUCGUCUCAUUCUUGGUUUCCAUCGCAUCCCAUCCCAUCCAUCAAUCAAUCUGCCGAUCCUCUUGGGCAAAGGGUCAGAUGGGAAUUUCCCAAUCUGGUCUCUGAUCAUAUACAGCCCUUACCUCUAUUUCGUGAGGGCUUUUUCCUUCAUCAGAGGGUUCACUAGUGGAGAGCCUCCAUAUAGCAAGAUUGAUGAGGGGUUGUAUGUUGGGGGGUGGCCUUAUGCCCCUGAUAAGCUGCCACCUGGCAACCCCGCGAUCGUUGAUUGCACGUGUGAGUUGCCGAGGAAGAGGGAGGUCACGGGGAGCGCGUACCUCUGUGUUCCCACGUGGGAUACGCGCUCCCCUGACCCGGGGGAGAUUGAGAGGGCUGUGAAAUGGGCUUGCGGGAAGCGGGCUCAGGGCGUCCCGGUUUUCGUGCAUUUUGCUUAUGGUCAUGGGCGAAGUGUGGCUGUAAUGUGUGCGCUGCUAGUUGCUCUUGGGUUGGCAGAAGAUUGGAAAACUGCGGAAAAGAUUAUCAAAGAGAAACGACCUUACAUCCGAAUGAACUCUCUUCACCGAAAAGCCUUGGAAGAAUGGUCCAAGGACAGGCUAUCCACCCCAAAAAGAUAAGGUAGAGAUGCAUGGAGUAGAUACUUCUAUUCUUCAUUUUAUCAUUGUAUUCUGAUACUACAAAAGUAAUUUCCCAAUUUCUGUUAAUCAUAUAAAUGUCCAGUGUCUCUCUCUCUCUCUCACACACACACAGAGAAGUAGUUCUCAACUGUAACUGUUUAAUGCCAACUAUAACUAUUUAAUAUAGUAGUGAUA